rnacentral:tRNA from 1 species
GGUGCGGUAGACGAAUUGGCGAAGUCAUCACUCUUUCACAGUGAAGAUUGUUGGGUUCAAAUCCCACCCGCAUCA